GAGGCACAUGACUUUUUUAGAUCUUUGAUGCUGGCUUUAGCAAAGUAAAAAGUAUCGAUACUUUACCAACUUUAUGAUUUCAAACACAGGAAUGAUAAAAAAAUCUGUGAAGUAUCUCUGAAGAUGAAAGAUAAGUGAUACAAUCAGUUGAUCCAAUCAAUAACACAAUCUCUCAUCAGGUCUAAAUCAUCUCCAAGAGGAACAUCCAACUCUCACUGUAACAGUCACAUAGAAACAAAGUGGCAUGCAACAGACCCCCCACUAUCCCUGCAUUACUCAAGGUAAUGGAAAUCCCAGGAUAUGUAUAUCCUACCUGGACAGGAAUAGAUUAUGUGUCUAAAAUCUUCAGCGGCUGAAGCACAUUCAUAAGAGGGAUGGUCCUGUCCUGCCCUGUUUUCAGUUCAGUUGUGUCUGCAGAAGAAGGCCAGUGCUUCAGAGAAGGCUGAGCUGAAUCCAUCAUUUCCUAGAGCAGCUGUGCUGAGCCAUGAGGAUGACCUUGAGCCCGUAAAGGUACACAGAAAGUGUAAGUGAGGAGAGGAAACCAUUUGAUCCAUAUAUUGACAUUUACAUUGUGGAUAUAAUUGUCCAAGCUAGUCAUGAGUCUCAAUUUACAGUCAAUGUAGAGGAACAAUGAUUUUAUACAGGAUGAGAGAGAUCACUUAUGCCCUGAUUCUACUGAUACUGGCCACUGUAACGUAAACUUUUAUAUUAAAUCAGAGGUCUCUCCUUCCUCACUUGUUGUUAUUCAAAAUCUGCAGAACGAGGAUACAACUUUUGACCUGUUGAUGUGUCUCAGAGCCUUCUCUGGCAUCAGUGCAAAGAAGCUAGAAACCUCCCUUAGCAGGGUCCAUUAGUGAGAGGAUGUUCCUGUGUGUCCCUGUGCAGGAUCUCCUCUGAAGAACAUUUUUCAGCAAAAGGGGUUCAAUCCAUGGCCAAGACAAUUGGUGUUGUGUUUAAUGAGCAAAGGCAAGAACGCUCCUCCAUGGUUCAUCCGUGUUGACCCCUAUUGUUUACAGAUUCCUACAAUAGCCUCUGAAGAGUGAAGACAUGGCCCUUGGAAGGGGCUAUAAAAGAACCAAAGUAAGUAUCCAAGAUGAGAUACCUUCCUUGUGGAUUGCUAAAGGUGGGUGAAUUGAAUCCAAACUGCACUCCAUCCCAUGUUAUUUUACCAUUUCUUCUCUCCAUUUCUCUUGCC
rnacentral:lncRNA from 1 species